GACGAACGCUGGCGGCGUGCCUAAUACAUGCAAGUAGAACGCUGAAGAGAGGAGCUUGCUCUUCUUGGAUGAGUUGCGAACGGGUGAGUAACGCGUAGGUAACCUGCCUUGUAGCGGGGGAUAACUAUUGGAAACGAUAGCUAAUACCGCAUAACAAUGGAUGACACAUGUCAUUUAUUUGAAAGGGGCAAUUGCUCCACUACAAGAUGGACCUGCGUUGUAUUAGCUAGUAGGUGAGGUAAUGGCUCACCUAGGCGACGAUACAUAGCCGACCUGAGAGGGUGAUCGGCCACACUGGGACUGAGACACGGCCCAGACUCCUACGGGAGGCAGCAGUAGGGAAUCUUCGGCAAUGGGGGCAACCCUGAACGAGCAACGCCGCGUGAGUGAAGAAGGGUUUCGGAUCGUAAAGCUCUGUUGUAAGUCAAGAACGGGUGUGAGAGUGGAAAGUUCACACUGUGACGGUAGCUUACCAGAAAGGGACGGCUAACUACGUG
rnacentral:rRNA from 1 species